rnacentral:ncRNA from 2 species
CCCUUAUUCAGAGUGAUGGAGAUACAAAGGAUCUGUGAAGUCACGGCAACCCCGGACCUUGACGUUUGGCGUCAGGAGGAUGGAAGGUGCCAACCUGAGCGAGAAAUCGAGCAAUAAGAG